GACGAACGCUGGCGGCGUGCUUAACGCAUGCAAGUCGAACGGUGAAGGGACCGGUUUUUGCUGGUUCUGGAUGAGUGGCGAACGGGUGAGUAACACGUGAGUAACCUGCCCCCUUCUUCUGGAUAACCGCAUGAAAGUGUGGCUAAUACGGGAUAUUCUGCGCCUGCUGCAUGAUGGGUGUGGGAAAGAUAUUGUUUCGGUGGGGGAUGGGCUCGCGGCCUAUCAGCUUGUUGGUGGGGUGAUGGCCUACCAAGGCGGUGACGGGUAGCCGGCCUGAGAGGGUGGACGGUCACACUGGGAAUGAGACACGGCCCAGACUCCUACGGGAGGCAGCAGUGGGGAAUAUUGCACAAUGGGCGCAAGCCUGAUGCAGCGACGCCGCGUGAGGGAUGGAGGCCUUCGGGUUGUAAACCUCUUUCGCCAGUGAAGCAGGCCUGUCCCUUUUGUGGGUGGGUUGACGGUAGCUGGAUAAGAAGCGCCGGCUAACUACGUG
rnacentral:rRNA from 1 species